GUAACUUACCACUGAAGGGUAUUUUUGGUAUUUCCACCAAAUUCCAUAUUUUCCGGGUAGACAUGACACGUUGCUAGAUGUCAAUCUUGUCUUAUAGGUUUGAUCAAAUUAAAGAGUUUAAUUCGAUCACCAAUUAGAAAGGAUUCUAAUUGUUAAGUUCGGGUUCGCGUAGUUUGGACUUAAAUCGAUUAGAAGAGUUCUAAUCAAGUUGGGUCAACUCGCACUCACACCUAUUGCUGGCUAAGUAUGGAACCCAAUGGGUCACACACAAGAAAACUUAUUAAGGAUCUAAUUGGAUUAGAUCAUGUUUGCAAGAUAGACAUCCU
rnacentral:lncRNA from 1 species